rnacentral:rRNA from 1 species
CCUACGGGAGGCUGCAGUGAGGAAUAUUGGUCAAUGGACGAGAGCCUGAACCAGCCAAGUAGCGUGAGGGAUGAAUGCUCUAUGGGUUGUAAACUUCUUUUAUAUGGGAAUAAAAUGUUCCACGUGUCGGAUUUUGUAUGUACCAUAUGAAUAAGGAUCGGCUAACUCCGUGCCAGCAGCCGCGGUAAUACGGAGGAUCCGAGCGUUAUCCGGAUUUAUUGGGUUUAAAGGGAGCGUAGGUGGAUUGUUAAGUCAGUUGUGAAAGUUUGGGGCUCAACCGUAAAAUUGCAGUUGAUACUGGCAGUCUUGAGUACAGUAGAGGUGGGCGGAAUGCGUGGUGUAGCGGUGAAAUGCUUAGAUAUCACGAAGAACUCCGAUUGCGAAGGCAGCUCACUGGACUGCAACUGACACUGAGGCUCGAAAGUGUGGGUAUCAAACAGGAUUAGAUACCCGAGUAGUC